UACGUAGGUGGCAAGCGUUGUCCGGAUUUACUGGGCGUAAAGAGCGCGCAGGCGGUCGGAUAAGUCGAAUGUGAAAGCCCCUGGCUCAACCAGGGAGGGUCAUUCGAUACUGUUCGACUCGAAGGCAGGAGAGGGAAGUGGAAUUCCGGGUGUAGUGGUGAAAUGCGUAGAUAUCAGGAAGAACACCCGUGGCGAAGGCGGCUCUCUGGGACGGUACUGACGCUGAGACGCGAAAGCGUGGGGAGCGAACAGG
rnacentral:rRNA from 1 species